CAGUCGCCGCGGUAAUACGGAGGGGGCUAGCGUUGUUCGGAAUUACUGGGCGUAAAGCGCACGUAGGCGGCUUGGUAAGUUAGAGGUGAAAGCCCGGAGCUCAACUCCGGAAUUGCCUUUAAGACUGCCGAGCUAGUAGGUGAGAGAGGUAAGUGGAAUUCCGAGUGUAGAGGUGAAAUUCGUAGAUAUUCGGAAGAACACCAGUGGCGAAGGCGGCUUACUGGCUCAUUCUAGACGCUGAGGUGCGAAAGCGUGGGGAGCAAACAGGAUUAGAUACCCCCGUAGUCCCUGUCUCUUAUAC
rnacentral:rRNA from 1 species